GACGAACGCUGGCGGCGUGCUUAACACAUGCAAGUCGAACGGUGAUGCUCCAGCUUGCUGGAGUGGAUCAGUGGCGAACGGGUGAGUAACACGUGAGCAACCUGCCCCAGACUCUGGAAUAAGCGCUGGAAACGGCGUCUAAUACUGGAUACGAAACUGGCCCGCAUGGGCAUGGUUUGGAAAGUUUUUCGGUUUGGGAUGGGCUCGCGGCCUAUCAGCUUGUUGGUGAGGUAAUGGCUCACCAAGGCGACGACGGGUAGCCGGCCUGAGAGGGCGACCGGCCACACGGGGAAUGAGACACGGCCCAGACCCCUCCGGGGGGCAGCGGUGGGGAAUAUUGCAAAAUGGGCGAAACCCUGAUGCAGCGCCCCCGGGUGGGGGAUGACGGCCUUGGGGUUGAAACCCUCUUUCCGCAGGGAAGAAGCGAAAGGGACGGUACCUGCAGAAGAAGCACCGGCAAACUCCGU
rnacentral:rRNA from 1 species